UGGUCUGCUCCUCUUUCAACGCAUUCCUCAUUCAACCUAAGAUUUAAAACAGUUUGUCUUCCAUCCAAAAAAACUGUCUCUCACCCAUGACCACCAUGAUCUUCACUGCUUAUCAGUUCCCAGAUUCAUCCCAUCCAUGUUCUAACAUGCAUAUUUUAAGAUAUUACAACUUCCAAUACUUAGACGCUAUAAAUACACCCAAGAAAUCUUUCGUCUCAAGUAUUGUUGGUUCCGGCUACGCGAUGGAGUUGGCUUUGACGGCGAGAAGGUUCUCUGAUUUGUAGGCAAAACAGUUGGGCCUGUUUUCGAGUUUUUCAUUUUGCAACAUAUGAAGGUGUUAAGGAACUUGCUUGGGGCACAUGAUGAAGGGAAUCUUACAUGGCUGAGUUGUUGGAACGAUGGGAAAAGACACAAAGGCGAGAGGGAAGGGUAAGGGAAAGCAGGCUGCAAGUGGAAGUGAUGAGAAUGCUUCUAAGGGAAAAGGAGAAUGUGGGAAAGCUGCAGAUGGGCUUGGUACUUGUACCUAUGUCAAAGGCAUGUCUUAUGUGAGAAACAAGGUAAGAUUAAUGAAGCCUACAAGAAGUUGCAGGAUGGUUGGCUUAGCAACGGAGAUAAGGUUCCUCCGAAAGAAUUUGCAAAGGUAUAUACACAACCCUUACGGUAGGAAAAAAUGUAUGUCAGUUUGUUGGAUGGAAUGAUAAAUAAGAAUCAAAUUUAAUCUUGUGAUAGAAAUAUUUUUGUCUAUUCAAUUGUUUAUGAUUGAUAAUAAUUUAUCGACCUCACGGGUAGCCCAAGAAUAUUCUUGAAUUAAUACAAUUAUUAGGAUCUAGAUGUUACAAUUGUAGAUUAUAGCACAUGAGUUAAUUUUAGAGUUGUUCCCAAAAACACCUUAUGGAUUAGUAGUUUGCACAUCAUCCAUUUCAGUAUUUUAGUAAUUGAAACCGAUUGAGCUCUUCGCCCGUGUGUCUUGGUGUCAGAAAAAUUUGGUAGGUCUACAAACAUGGAAAGGUGUGUUUGAGUUUAUCGUACAUGUUGCAUUAUAAUGGUUUUGAAUAUGUAAGUAGUACUGUGGUGAAAACCUGCUGCUCUAGGCUAAUGAAGUCACAAACUAUGGGUGAUGCCACUAGCUUUGAAUUCAUGAGAAGUAGAAGCGAGUUUGAGAUCAACCAUGAACAUCCUAUUAUCAAGAACUCUAAAUGCUGCUUGUAAAUCUUUUCCUGAUGAUCAAGAGGCCCCCAAAGCUAUUAAUCUUUUGUAUGAUUCAACUUUGGUUUGGAGUGGAUUAAGGCCUGAUAAUCCAGCACAACUUGGAGGGAAGAUAUACGAGAUGAUGGAUAAAUGGUCAUCUUGAACUUAGUUUGAGUCAAGUAAAUGGUCAUGUUGAACUUAGUUUGGUCUAUAAACAGUAGAAGCUGAAGUGGUCGAGCCAACUGAAGCUGGCAUUCAAGAUUUCACUUCUUUCUCUUUCUUCAAAGUUAUAUAUUUGAACAACAAUAUUGUUUGUAUUUUAUAGAUAUGUUUAGUAACUUUCAAUGUAAUGCCAAUCUCGUGUAAUUCACAAGGUAUUGGCUGGCUUGACAUUAGUUAAGCUUAUUCAUUGUCGCUAUUAUUUUAAA